rnacentral:rRNA from 1 species
GAUGAACGCUGGCGGCGUGCCUAAUACAUGCAAGUCGAGCGAACGGACGAGAAGCUUGCUUUUCUGAUAUUAGCGGCGGACGGGUGAGUAACACGUGGAUAACCUACCUAUAAGACUGGGAUAAAUUCGGGAAACCGGAGCUAAUACCGGAUAAUAUUUUGAACCUCAUGGCUACAAAGUGAAAGACGGUAUUGCUGUCACUUAUAGAUGGAUCCGCGUUUCAUUAGCUUGUUGGUAGGGUAACGCCUUACCAAGCCAACGAUGCAUAGCCGACCUGCUAGGGAGAUCGGCCACACGGGAACUGAGGCAGGAUCCAAGCUGCUGCGGUGGGUAGCAGUAGGGAUACUGCCGCAAUGGGCGAAGGCCGGACGGAGCAACACCGCGAAGGGGAUAAAGUUCUUCGGAUCGAAAAGGUCUGUUAUAGGGGAGGAACAUAUGUGUAAGUAACUGUGCACAUCUUGACGGUACCUAAUCAGAAAGCGACGGCUAACUACGUG